UAUUUGGAAAUCGGCAUUCGAAGCUUGAUUCUUGAAGUUCAAGUGUUCAACAUUGAAAUACUUGCUUGACGUUUGUUCGUGGUAACACCGGAUUUCAUGUUAGAUGUGCAUGUCAUGUUUACAAUUUAAUUGUUAAAAGUGGCUUCGAUUUAUUUUUACAUGAGAUUACUCUAGUUAGAAGAGCAGUUGGAGUAAUUCAGGGAAAUANNN
rnacentral:lncRNA from 1 species